AUACGAACUGUGCAAACGUUAUUCGGAAUCACUGGGCUUAAAGGGUGCGUAGGCGGGUUUGAAGGUCUGAUGUGAAAGCCCACGGCUCAACCGUGGAAUUGCGUUGGAAACCACAAGCCUUGAGGGAGUCAGAGGUGAGCGGAACUAAUGGUGGAGCGGUGAAAUGCGUUGAUAUCAUUAGGAACACCGGUGGCGAAAGCGGCUCACUGGGUGGCAACUGACGCUGAGGCACGAAAGCCAGGGGAGCGAACGGGAUUAGAAACCCUAGUAGUCC
rnacentral:rRNA from 1 species